AUGAUAACCUGGCAUGGAAGAUACCAUGAUCAAGAAGGUGGUUCACUCAGGUCAAGUCUCAGUUAUUGCACUCAAACUGUGCUGAACCGGAAUUCCCCAUAUGUAGGAAUCUUGACUGCAUUAUUUCUCGUAGUGUGGGAUUGCGUUUCUGCUCUUUUUAU
ensembl:snRNA U1 U1 spliceosomal RNA